rnacentral:rRNA from 1 species
GAUGAACGCUGGCGGCGUGCCUAACACAUGCAAGUCGAACGGAAAGUGGGUGUUUAAGUGGGGUGUUGGAGGCGGACGGGGGAGUAACGCGUAAAGAACUUGCCUCACAGCUAGGGACAACACUUGGAAACGAAUGGUAUAACCCAAUAUUAUGAUAAUAGCGCAUCGUAGAGGUAUGAAAGCUAUCAGCGGUGGGGGAUGGGCUUGCGGCUCAUCAGCUUGUUGGUGGGGUAGCGGCUUACCAAGGCCUUGAUGGGUAGCCGGCCUGAGAGGGUGACCGGCCACAAUGGGACUGGGGUAACGCCCAGUAUCCUUCGGGGGGCAGCAGGGGGGAAUAUUGCACAAUGGGCGGAAGCCUGAUGCAGAAACGCCGCGUGCGGGAUAUCGGCCUUCUGGUUGUAAACAGCUUUCGCCUUUGACGAAGCGGGAGUGACGGUAAUAGGUCAAGAAGCACCGGCUAACUACGUG